rfam:Pontibacillus marinus BH030004 = DSM 16465 strain BH030004 contig101, whole genome shotgun sequence.
ACAAUGUUCCGCUACCAGGUGAAUCCAGGUAAGAGCAUUGG